rnacentral:lncRNA from 1 species
CCCCAUUUCUCUGCAAAUUUUUCGUUUCUUUUUUAAAAUUCUUCUUCCCCCAUCUCUCCUCUCUCUCUUCUUCAUGUAAUUGUUCGUUUUUUUUUUUAAUUUCCGCGCGUCUCCCACACGCGAUUAUCUUUUCUCUCCUCCGCCCCGGGUCUCCACUUCGACACGCCCUCGCAUCACGCCGUGUCUCCAGCGCGGCCACCACCUUGGCGACCCGGCUCGACCCCGCCUUCGACAUCGCCGCUGGAGAUGCUCU